rnacentral:rRNA from 1 species
AUUGAACGCUGGCGGCAGGCCUAACACAUGCAAGUCGAGCGGAUGAAGGGAGCUUGCUCCUGGAUUCAGCGGCGGACGGGUGAGUAAUGCCUAGGAAUCUGCCUGGUAGUGGGGGAUAACGUCCGGAAACGGGCGCUAAUACCGCAUACGUCCUGAGGGAGAAAGUGGGGGAUCUUCGGACCUCACGCUAUCAGAUGAGCCUAGGUCGGAUUAGCUAGUUGGUGGGGUAAAGGCCUACCAAGGCGACGAUCCGUAACUGGUCUGAGAGGAUGAUCAGUCACACUAGAACUGAGACACGGUCCAGAACCCUACGGGAGGCAGCAGGGGGGAAUUGUGGAAAAUGGGCGAAAGCCUGAUCCAGCCAUGGCGGGGGGGGAAAGAAGGUCUUCGAAUUGUAAAGCACUUUAAGUUGGGAAGAAGGGCAGUAAGUUAAUACCUUGCUGUUUUGACGUUACCAAAAGAAUAAGCACCGGCUAACUUCGU